GACGAACCGUACGAACGUUAUUCGGAACCACUGGGCUUAAAGGGUGCGUAGGCGGCGCGACAAGUUGGGUGUGAAAUCCCUCGGCUCAACCGAGGAACUGCGCCCAAAACUGUCGUGCUCGAGGGAGACAGAGGUGAGCGGAACUUAGGGUGGAGCGGUGAAAUGCGUUGAUAUCCUAAGGAACACCGGUGGCGAAAGCGGCUCACUGGGUCUCUUCUGACGCUGAGGCACGAAAGCUAGGGUAGCGAACGGG
rnacentral:rRNA from 1 species